CGCGGCGUAUUCCGUGCGAGUUGGUAGGGACUGCCUCAUAACCUGAAGGUCGUAGGUUCAAAUCCUACUCCCGCAACCA
rnacentral:tRNA from 1 species